UUGAGGAUCUUCAAUAGCUAGCUCCUAGCUAUGGCUCUUUCAAAUAUUUCUUGCUUCAGGCUUUCUUGGUAAAGGCUUCAAAUGGAUGCUAUGUGCAUAAGUAUGGGAGAAUCUGUUAAGCUCAGGAGGGAUAGCGCCAUGAGCUGAUGAUAAGUUGAUGUUUGAUGGGUUAAUCUCAACAUAAUCAAUCUAGUCAUUAGUGGCGCUAUCUAUCCUGAGUUCUAUGGGUUCUCCUUACUAUUCCGGUACAGUUUCAGCUUUAAAGAUGGUUGUUGGCUUCUGGGUAUGUGUGUACUUUUCUUCUAUAAAUGCGUUCUUAAUUAGGUUACAAUUUCUCUCCUUCGCUAGAUUUUCUUUUAAAAAGACAAGAGCCUAGAUUCAUGAUCAUGUUUGGGGUAUUUUGGAUAAAUAUAUCCUUGAUCUUGCCAUUUUUGUUCCUGGUUGGAUUUUCAGCAGCAUGAUCAUACCAAGAUCAAUGAUGUGCGUUUUAUUUUCUCUUCCUUCUAACUCAAUACGAUAUUUAUAUACAUAAGUUGGUUCAAGAUGUAUGUUUUCUUGUUUUGGCUCUAGUUUCCUGGAAUUAGCGCUAUGAGGGAAGCUCCACAUCUUUGCAAGGACACGGCUUUACUUUCUUACCUAUUCUGGGUUUUUAUUUAUUUAUUUAUUUACAUGCUUUAUAUCAUUAAGGUUUUGGUAAUAGAAAGAUAAAUGAUCUUUGGUCUUUUUUCCACAAUUCCUUUGUUUCAUGGCCAUAUUUUCACUGGGGAUGUUAUCAUUGCAAAAUAAAAUGAUCUGUGAUCAUUCAUGCUUAUCAGGUAAUCAGGUAUGUUAUUUUAUUUCUAACUUUUGCUAUCGCGGUUGAUUAUCCCGUUUAGAUUGAUAUUUAUGUCUCUGAAAUUGUAAUUGUUUUCAGCUUGCAAUCUUAACCUCUUUGGCUUAUGUGAUGCUCUAGUUAGUUUCCUUGAACGGUUUUGAUCUCCAUGAUUUUCUCAAUUAGGUAAAAACCCCAGGAAUUCGUGAUCUAUUUCUUCGUCUGGUUUGCAUAGUUAAUUAGAUUUUUAUACUGCUGAGUAAUAUUAUGAAUUGGGUACGUUAGGGUUUGUCUUUUGGGCAUGCCAAUCAUCAGUUCUGUUGGUCCACUGUUUAGAAAGGUUCUUACCUUUUCUUCUUACAAGAAAAACCCAGGGUUUUCACAUUUUUCUUUGAAACAGGUGCUCGGUGAGAGCCUUUUGAGAGACUACCCUGAUUUUACGGUUUUGGCUGUUUCAAGUUUUAAUGCUUUUUAAUAAUGGGGAUUGUUUGCUGUGGAUGUUGACUCCUUCCCCACUUUGUUCAGAUCACGGUUCCUCGCUUUCUUUUUCUAUAAUUUUUUCCACCACCACCACCACCACCACCACCAUCCCUGUUAAAAGCAAACUUUGAUGCAAAUUACAUGGUAAUUGUCGAUAUCUUUAUUCUACAUGCAUUUUUAUAAAGAUUGCUGUUCAUAGCCAUUCAUGUGGAUGAUGAUGGGUGAAGUUGACUUGAAUAUUUUGAGUUCUUUAUAUAAUAUUGUAAUCCAUUCUCUGUUCGAUUGCAAAAGUGGAUCAUUUUGUUGGCCAUUAUAGCCAAAAUGUAAGGUUGGAAUGUAUGUUUAUUAGUUUGAUCGCAUCUACUGAGAAGUUUAAUUUAAUUUUAGGGUACGAAGUGUGUCCUAUUGUUUGGGGACAAAGGAAGCGUCUUUCCCCUAGCAGAUCUCCUACCUUUUGCUAUUAUUGACUAUAUAAUAUGAUCUUCAUCAUUAUAGGAUAGUGGACAGCGUGCUUAAACAGAAACCCCCACCUUUCCACAGUAUGGAGAGCUUUAAGGGUAUGCCUCCAGUGAGAGACAUCAAAAUCUUGACUGUAUCUUUGACCCAAAAUAGCUACUGAUACAUAGUAUUCUGUUCUUCUUCCAUGAAAAUAAUGCCUUAUAAUUGAAACAUGCAUUUUUAGAUUUUGAAUGUGAUGUAAUUGUUUCAGAGGUCUAUAAAUUGGGAGGAUGGUGGUAUAUAUCCUGGUGUUGAUGCGAAUCUGAUUAGGUUAUAUUCCCAGAAGGUAGAUAAAAAUGCUGUCAUCUCUUUUUUUUCCCCAAGAUUCUGCGGGAUCCAUCAUUUUUUUUUUCAACUUCGGGUAAAAGAGAUGUUAUAGCAACCUAUGACAGAAGGCUUAAAUAUCUAUACUUGCAGAAAUGUCAUCAUCGACCAAGUUAAAUGGUUUUUUCUUUUUCAAGAGUUCUGUGUAUGCGCAAGGCCGGUUUUUCCCCAUUUGUUUCCUUUAACAGAAGGUCCGAACUCCAAUUCUUAGACAGGUAGAAGAUAUACAAGUAAAGGUUCCGGUAAUAUUAUGCAAGAAGUCGCUACAUCGCAUAAGAACAUAACCUCUCGUCUACAACAGAAAUAGACGACUCUUUACUGGCAGCGCCGUGAGCUGACUGAAAACAAGUGUACUGGUAAAAAUCAAGACGCCGGCAAAGAGCCUAGCCCAUGCAUCAAUUAUAACUUGCAAGUACGAACUGGUUUGUCCUUAAUUGGAUCCGCAAUAUAUCAAAAAUCUCAAUUAAAUCGCCUUACACGUACAGACAUAGUCUCUUGCCAAAGUCACCUGUCUUCAUGCAGUAGAUCAGGGACGUUGAUUUGAAGAGAACUUGUAUCUAGAACUUAUUAUUUAAUUAGAUUUCAUUUUUUUAAUUUGGGUUUUAUUAUUUAAUUCAAUGUAGCCUAUUAUUUACACAAUUUUUAGGCUAUUAACGUUGUAAUGAUUAAUCUUCAAAAUUUAUCAGAUCAUAAUUUAUUCUACCAA